AUUGAACGCUGGCGGCAGGCUUAACACAUGCAAGUCGAACGAAGUGGCGAACGGGUGAGUAACGCGUAAUCAACCUGCCCUUCAGAGGGGGACAACAGUUGGAAACGACUGCUAAUACCGCAUACUGAAGGAGGGGAUUGCGGCUGAUUAGCUAGUUGGGGGGGUAACGGCCCACAAAGGCGAUGAUCAGUAGCCGGGCUGGGAGGGUGAACGGCCAAAUUGGGAAUGGGACACGGCCCAGACUCCUACGGGAGGCAGCAGUGGGGAAUCUUCCGCAAUGGACGAAAGUCUGACGGAGCAACGCCGCGUGAGUGAUGACGGCCUUCGGGUUGUAAAGCUCUGUUAAUCGGGACGCGGUACCGGAAUAGAAAGCCACGGCUAACUACGUGCCAGCAGCCGCGGUAAUUC
rnacentral:rRNA from 1 species